AAAAAGAAAAAUGUCCAAAAUAGCACACGCACAUAGAAAAUGUAAUGCAACGUUCUGAAGAAGAUGGUGUAUUGGCAAGUGGAAAUCACCCUUAAUGUUUUUAAGUUCUCAUGCUACAGAUGUGUUUGGAAGGUUUCUGUAUUCUUUGAUGUCCACCAGAUAUAUAUAUUUUUUUCAAUUAAUGUGUAAAACAGCAUCACUGCAUUUUAAGCUAUGGAUUUUUUUGUAUAUUCUUUAUUUAUAACUGUGCCAAGUAUUAUUUUAAUACUGUCAGGAUCUUGAUGUAUUACAUUGUGAACAAAAAAUCUGUAAAAUGUUUAAUAAGUUAGCUCUCCUUACAUAAAUUAAAUCUGUUAAAUUUUGUAAGUUAUUAAUCAAAUAAAUAUUGACUCUUAGAUGCA